CCUACGGGUGGCAGCAGUGAGGAAUAUUGGUCAAUGGGCGGAAGCCUGAACCAGCCAAGUAGCGUGCGGGAUGAAGGCCCUACGGGUCGUAAACCGCUUUUGCACGGGGAGAAAACCCUCCACUUGUGGAGGUCUGCAGGUACCGUGCGAAUAAGGGCCGGCUAAUUCCGUGCCAGCAGCCGCGGUAAUACGGAAGGCCCGAGCGUUAUCCGGCUUCAUUGGGCUUAAAGGGAGCGUAGGCGGGCGUUCAAGUCAGCUGUAAAAUCGCGCGGCUCAACCGCGCCCCGCAGUUGAAACUGGACGCCUUGAGUUCACAACAGGCAGUCGGAAUUCGUGGUGUAGCGGUGCACUGCAUAGCUCUCACGAGGAACCCCGAUUGCGAAGGCAGCCUACCGGGGUGCGACUGCCGCUGCGGCUCGAAUGUGCGGGUAUCAAACAGGAUUAGCUACCCCUGUAGUC
rnacentral:rRNA from 1 species